rnacentral:rRNA from 1 species
AUUGAACGCUGGCGGCAGGCCUAACACAUGCAAGUCGAGCGAGAAAGGUCUUCGGACUGAGUACAGCGGCGGACGGGUGAGUAACGCGUAGGAAUCUACCCAGUAGUGGGGGACAACUUGGGGAAACUCAAGCUAAUACCGCAUACGCCCUAUGGGGGAAAGCGGGGGAUCUUCGGACCUCGCGCUAUUGGAUGAGCCUGCGUCGGAUUAGCUAGUUGGUGGGGUAAAAGCCUACCAAGGCGACGAUCCGUAGCUGGUCUGAGAGGACGAUCAGCCACACUGGGACUGAGACACGGCCCAGACUCCUACGGGAGGCAGCAGUGGGGAAUAUUGCGCAAUGGGGGAAACCCUGACGCAGCCAUGCCGCGUGUGUGAAGAAGGCUCUAGGGUUGUAAAGCACUUUCAGCAGUGAGAAAAAGCCACCGGAUAAUACCCGUUGGUCUUGAUGUUAACUGUAGAAGAAGCACCGGCUAACUCCGU